rnacentral:rRNA from 1 species
GACGAACGCUGGCGGCGUGCCUAAUACAUGCAAGUCGAACGCUGAAGGAGGAGCUUGCUUCUCCGGAUGAGUUGCGAACGGGUGAGUAACGCGUAGGUAACCUGCCUGGUAGCGGGGGAUAACUAUUGGAAACGAUAGCUAAUACCGCAUAAGAGUAGAUGUCGCAUGACAUUUGCUUAAAAGGUGCAACUGCACCACUACCAGAUGGACCUGCGUUGUAUUAGCUAGUUGGUGAGGUAACGGCUCACCAAGGCAACGAUACAUAGCCGACCUGAGAGGGUGAUCGGCCACACUGGGACUGAGACACGGCCCAGACUCCUACGGGAGGCAGCAGUAGGGAAUCUUCGGAAAUGGACGGAAGGCUGACCGAGCAAAGCCGGGUGAGGGAAGAAGGGUUUCGGAUCGUAAAGCUCUGUUGUAAGAGAAGAAAGAGUGGGAGAGUGGAAAGUUCACACUGUGACGGUAUCUUACCAGAAAGGGACGGCUAACUACGUG